rnacentral:lncRNA from 1 species
UUUCUACAUCUCUUCUUUUCGCUUCCACUUGCUUUUCAAGUUGAUCCUCUACUUUAUUUUCAUCACGAAGCUUCUUCUCGCUUGCUUUGAAAAUUUAGGUUUACAGCGAGAUGAGCUGUAAAUUUGUAGUUUCGCCUUGUUUGGGAAGAUUUAUUCAAAAGCUGUUCCUUUUUUCCAUUUUUUGUUAGCUUGAGACUAGAAAUGUUCUUUCUCCAAGUUUGGAUUUUGAAGUGGAGGCACUAUCUAUCUGAACAUAUAUUUGAAGUUAAACUGCUGAUCCAGUUACUAGUAUUAGAACACUUGGUGCACUGAUCUUUACUUUUUGGUGCAUUUCAGGCAAGAGGGCUGAAGAAACACUUGAAGAGGCUUAAUGCCCCAAAGCAUUGGAUGCUUGACAAGCUUGGAGGUGCAUUUGUAUGUUGUCUAAACCUAGCGCCUUUUUGUUUUGGUAUAUAUGUUAUUAUUGUCUAUUAUCUCUUAUUCAUUGUAUAUACAUUGUUCUAUGAUUUACUGUGCAGGCCCCCAAACCAUCAUCUGGACCUCACAAGUCAAGGGAAUGCUUGCCUUUGAUCCUCAUUCUGCGUAACAGGCUGAAAUAUGCUCUCACAUAUCGUGAAGUUAUUGCAAUUUUGAUGCAGAGACAUGUGCUUGUUGAUGGGAAGGUUAGGACAGAUAAGACUUACCCUUCGGGUUUCAUGGGUAUGUCACUUCACUAUAUUUAUUUGUUUGUUUAUUUAGUUUACCCUUGAGAUUAGAUCUUUAUACAUGAGGAAUUGUUUUUAUUUUUCAUUAUGUAACUGGGCCUUGGGGAUAUCUGGGUAGAGGCAAUUAAUAAUUUCAGCUGCUAAAGCGUUUGGCCAGAGAUGGUUGCUUUGGGAAAUAUUACAUCUAUUGGCACUGUCCAAUGAUUAUGAAAUUUGAGAUCAGCAAUAUAGACUUCUUGUUAGGAGGUGGUCAUUAUAUGUGAUUGACAUUGAGGACACCAUAUUAAUGUGAAGUCUUCUUUAUGUAUUUUUAUCCUUUGAACUAUGUAAUAUUCAUUUGCAUCAUAUGCUGUGUUUUGUUCUCUAUAAACAGAUGUUGUGUCAAUUCCCAAGACAAAUGAGAACUUCCGCCUCCUUUAUGACACUAAAGGACGCUUCCGUCUGCACUCUAUCAGAGAUGAUGAGGCUAAGGUUUUUCUGUUCUUGUGCUUAUUUCUUAUGUGUGAAACAUUUUGUAUUCAGUUAAUUUUGCGCUCUUAUUUUUUUCAUUUGAGAAUGGUAUGAAUUAUACAUGUGGUUUUUUUCAUGUUUGCUUUAUAGCUUUGACGACUUCUUGAUGCCAUUAUUUGUUAAUGGUUUGCAGUUCAAGCUUUGCAAGGUUCGAUCAGUUCAAUUUGGCCAAAAGGGUAUCCCUUACAUAAAUACCUAUGACGGCCGCACCAUCCGCUACCCAGAUCCACUCAUCAAGGCUAAUGACACGAUCAAGCUAGACCUUGAUAGUAACAAGAUUGCAGACUUCAUCAAGUUUGAUGUGGGAAAUAUUGUCAUGGUCACUGGAGGAAGGAACAGGGGGCGAGUUGGAAUUAUAAAGAAUAGGGAGAAGCACAAGGGGAGUUUCGAGACAAUUCACAUUCAAGAUGCCACUGGCCAUGAGUUUGCCACUCGCUUGGGCAAUGUGUUCACUAUUGGAAAGGGAAACAAACCAUGGGUGUCUCUGCCCAAGGGCAAAGGUAUCAAGUUGUCUAUUAUUGAGGAGGCUAGGAAGAGGCUCGCUGCAGCCCCAACUGUUGCGUAAAGAUGUCUCGAAUUAUUGUCUUGGGUGUUCUAUCAGGAUGAGGGAAACUGUUAAUUGCCUUUCAUUUGGUGCACAAGAAAUUUUUAUGGGGACAAUUUUGAACUAUAUUUGUCUCCAUAAUUUUUUACUGUAUUUGUAUUUCAAUUUUAGUCACAUUUUUCCUGUUACUGAGAUGAAAAUUAAGACUUUAUGUUUGUCAGUCUUAUGCUAGUAUUUUUGAGUUUGUCGUGCCCUUAAUGAGAGGCUUGUGCAAGCGUUGUGCUGUGUGCUGGACGGUUUUUUUAAUUUAAUUUUGCCAAAGCUAAACAAAAAAAGAUUGAAAUCUUAACUUUUCCCUAAUUUAAUUUUACCAAAGCUAAACAAAAGAAAAUCUAUUAGUUCCUAUGCGGCACACAUUUGAUUUACAGUAUUAUAUAGGUAUCUAUUGCAUUUUUAAUAAAAUUGGUAAGUUUGUCCUUUAUCAUGGACAGAUGAUUUAAAAUCUUUCCUUUAGAUUUUUUUUUUUUAAUCUACAUCAUAGAUAUUUUUAUAAAACGAAUUUAAUUAUUUCUUUAGAGAUGAAUAGAUAAUUUAAAGCAACUUAAAGAUAUCAAUCAUAUGUAGAGAAUUAUAAUAUGGAUCAAAAUAAAGGCUUAUUUAUUUUUUAAUUAAAAGGAUUUAUUUAACUCAUUUUUAAAAUAUUUAUUUAAUUCACUUCAAUAAAUAAAAGUUUUAUUUAAAUUAAAAAAGUUUAGACCUCUCAUGGCAAAAUAGUCAUUUUGCCUUUUCAUUAACAUAAAUUUUGUAAAAUUUGAGAGAGGGCGGUGCUUCUCAUUUUUACUUAUUUAAUUAGAUUUUAUGAAAUAAAAAAAAGGAAAUAAAGUAAUUAGGGUUUUGGGGUUGGAGGAGAAACGAGAGUUUGGAAUAUUUAAAGCCCUACAGCCGCAGACCCUUCCCUUGGGAUUCAGCAGCAGAGCAACACAGCGGAAGGCGGAAGUAGAGGGAGGAGAACGCUCUUCAGAGAAUGGUAAGGUUUUUACAUCUCUUCUUUUCGCUUCCACUUGUUUUUCUAGUUGAUCCUCUAUUUUACUUUCAUGACUGAACUUAUUCUCGCUUGCUUAGAAAAUUCAGGUCUACAGCAAGAAGAGUGUAAAUUUGUAGUUUUGCCUUGUUCUGGGAAGAUUUAUGUAAAAGCUGUUUAUUUUUACCCUUUUUCCCCCUUUUUGUAGUUUCGGACUAGAAAUCUUCUUUCUCCAAGUUUAGAUUUUGAAAUAUGUAGUAAUCCAAAUUAAUAAAACGGUGAUCCAACGGUAACAUGCAGUGUGAGCUCCAAGUUGUUGGUAGUGAAAAGGUUGUUAGGCUAGCAUCAUCUAUUAGUUACUUUGGGGGGGGGGACUUGUAACUAUUGUUAGUCUUCAGCAAUGAAUAGGGCUGUAGUCGUUCAUGUGAGAAUAUUGUGGAAAAUUGUUAAUGAGAUUAGUGUGGUUCUUGGAGCCAUUGUGAUUCUUUAGUUGUUUUCUUGCUGUUUCUUGAUUUAGUCUCUAGUUUCCAUCAAUUGGUAAUUCUUUUCAGGACUUCUAUUUUCUUGAUUCAAUUAUUUCUUCAUCUUUCUCGUAAAUUUUAUUUCUCAUUGCAUUGAGAAUCAUGGAUCACAUUUCUCUUGAAAUCACAAGAACAAGGUCAGAGUUGGAUGAUAGAAGAUGUGAGGGUUUAUGUUUAUGGUUUUAAGAAACCUAUUCAUUGAGCCACAAUUGUGACAAGGCACCAUUAUUUGUGACCAUUAUUGAUGAUGAAGUAGAUUAAGAAGAUGGGAAUCUAGAGAUUGCAGAGGAGUUAUCUGUUGUAAUUUCUGAUGUAAUCAGACCUGAAUCUGAGUCACAAUUAGUAGCUGUUGAAACCUUGUGAACCUGCUCUUCAUAAAGUCAUGGCAAUGAAUUCAGCUGACAGCCUGCAGGAUGAGAUCGUGGAAGUGGGGCUUGCUGAGAAUUCAAAGUCAAGGGGGCCCAUGAAAGCUAGAAAAGUGAAGGAUUUGGGAAAAUUGGGGAGUGGAGAUGAGGUGGCACCUUUGAUUGAUUGAACCAUAUCCUCUUUCGAGAAGAAAAUUAAAUGGGAAUGUGGAGUUUGUGCAAGAGGAGAUAGCGGAGUGUCUUUAAUGUUUAUAGGUGUUGGUGAAGCAUUUGCCAAACAGUUGGAUGAUAGUCCCAAUGCCAGCUGUCCUUGGAAAAGUUCUUUGUAGUGUAUUUUUGAUAAUUUGGUUCUUUUGCAAUUUCUAUUGCUUCCUAUUGUUGCUGCAUUUGCUACUGAGCAAAUAUGGUUUCUUGGGAUUCAAUAGUUAGUUGUGACUUUACUUCUGGAGAAAAAGAUUUGACGUUAGAAGGCAUAAAUAGGUUGAAAUUUUAUUUGGGAAAAAUCAAAUGCAAGAUGAACAAGUGUUGAGACAAGACCCGACUGGACAUUUGGAAAUUAAUAAUUAAUAAAAUGCAAGAUGGAGCUCUGUAAAUUGCAAAAAGAUUCAAUUGGGCAUUUGGAAAUGAUAAAAUUCAAGGUGAAGUACUUCAAAUUGCAAAAGAAUUCAACUUCAGUUGGGUAUUUGGGAAUGAUCAAAUGCAAGAUGAAACAAAGCUAUGCCAACCCACAAGAAUUUUGUCUCAGUUGGGAAGAAAAAUCUAGAAAAUGCAAUUUGGAGUAUGCUGUAGAUAUUCAAUUGAGGCUCCUGCAUUUACUUCUUGAGGACAAAGAGCUUUCGCUUGGGGAGUAUUGUUUAAUCCAAAGUAAUAAAAUGGGGAUCCAACAGUGACAUGCAGAGUGAGCUCCAAUUUGUUAUGGUAGUUACAGGUUGUUAGGCGUGUGCGAUUUGUUAGUUACUCGGGCGGGAACUUGUAACCAUUGUUAGUGUUUAGCUAUAAAUAGGGCUGUAGUCAUUCAUAUGAGAAUAUUCUGGAAAUUUUUUAAUGACAUGAGCGUGCUUCUUGGAGCCAUUGUGUUUUUUUAGUUGCUUCCAUUUUUGUAUCACAACAAAGUGGAGGCCCUAUUUAUCUGAACGUAUAUUUAAAUUGUUGCUGAUCCGGUUACUAAUAUUAGAAUAAUAUCCUUGACUAAUUGCUGUAGCUUUCCAUUGAUCUUUACUUUUUGGUGCAUUUCAGGCAAGAGGGCUGAAGAAACACUUGAAGAGGCUUAAUGCCCCAAAGCAUUGGAUGCUUGACAAGCUUGGAGGUGCAUUUGUAUGUUGUGUAAACCUUGUGUCUAUUUUUUUUGGUAUAUAUAUUAUUAUUGUCUAUACUCUCUUAUUCAUUGAAUAUACGUUGUUCUAUGAUUUGCUGUGCAGGCCCCCAAACCAUCAUCUGGACCUCACAAGUCAAGGGAAUGCUUGCCUCUGAUCCUUAUUCUGCGUAACAGGCUGAAAUAUGCUCUCACAUAUCGUGAAGUUAUUGCUAUUUUGAUGCAGAGACAUGUUCUUGUUGAUGGGAAGGUUAGGACAGAUAAGACUUACCCUUCGGGUUUCAUGGGUAUGUCACUUCACCUUGAUCACUAUAGCUCGUUUAUUUUUUUAUUUGUUUAUUUAGAUUUUCCUUGAGAUUUGAUCUCCACACAAGAGGAAUUGUUUUUAUUUUUCAUUAUGAAUUGGGGCUUGGGGAUUUAUGUUUAUAGACAAUUAAUGAUUUUAGCUACCAAAAUGUUUGGCCAGAGAUGGUUGCUAUGGGAAAUAUGGCACAUUUAUUAGCAGUGUAGAAUGAUUAUGAAAUUUGAGAUCAGCAAUAUAGACUUCUUCUUGGGAGGUGGUCAUUAUAUGUGAUUUAUGUUGUGGACACCAUAUUAAUGUGAAGCCG